AUUGAACGCUGGCGGCAUGCCUUACACAUGCAAGUCGAGCGGCAGCGCGUCCGACCACCCUCGGGUGGUCGGAUGGCGGCGAGCGGCGGACGGGUGAGGAAUGCAUCGGAAUCUGCCUCGUUGUGGGGGAUAACGUAGGGAAACUUACGCUAAUACCGCAUACGACCUACGGGUGAAAGUGGGGGACCUUCGGGCCUCACGCGAUGAGAUGAGCCGAUGCCGGAUUAGCUAGUUGGCGGGGUAAAGGCCCACCAAGGCGACGAUCCGUAGCUGGUCUGAGAGGAUGAUCAGCCACACUGGAACUGAGACACGGUCCAGACUCCUACGGGAGGCAGCAGUGGGGAAUAUUGGACAAUGGGGGCAAGCCUGAUCCAGCCAUGCCGCGUGAGUGAAGAAGG
rnacentral:rRNA from 1 species